AUGAGAUCCUUGUGCUAUGCAUGGAAGGAUUUCUUUUAAGCAGAAAUGACCUUUCCUGCCAAAGAAGAUUGAAAACCUUUUGUUCAUUGCCACAGAGAGAAAAUAACUGGGAUUGAGAACCUAGAUGCAAGGCAGAGAAUUCAAGCUAGAAGCACAGAGAGCGACAGUAUCCCACCAUCAUUCCCCAAUGAUUGGCAGACGGUGUCAUACAGCGUAUAUUGAGGAAAGCAAAGCCUUCCAGAGAAAUCAAGUGCCAAAGAUUGAGUCCUUAAUAUGGAACUUUAAGUCAUUUUGUGAACCAGGAUGACAUCUUCUCUCAUGAUGUAAGACAGUGAGCUGACUCAUCCUAAGAUAAAACAACCAACCAAAUGAAAGGCACAUGUUCAGAUUUUGUGGGUCAGGAAUUCUGAAAAGGCACAGAAGGGUGGCUCUUUUCUGCUCCAUGAUGUCUUGGGCCUCAGCUGGAAUGACUCAAAUAGCUGGGAGCUGGAACAGCUGGGAUUGGAGGAUCCACUUCCCAUAUCUCUUCUUCACUCACAUAGCUUGUGCCUGCACUGCAAUGACUGAAGGACAGGGUCAGCUGGGACUAUUGACUGAAGCCCUAACAUGUGUCCUGUCCAGUAUGCCAGCCUCAAGAUUGUUGAACUUCUUGCACUGAAGCUCAGGUUUCCAAGAGCAAAUGUUCUUGUGAAUAAGCAGAAGUUGUAUGACCUUCUAUGACCUAGCCUCAAAAGUCAAAUUGGUUGAAGCAUUCAGAAAGCUACCCAGAUUCAAGAAGAGGAGACAUGAACUCCAACUUUCAAUGGGAGGAAUGUCAAGGAAUCUGCAGCCAUGUUUUAAAACCACCACAAGUGUGUCUCAGCUUCUCCUCCCCUCUAGACAUAAGCCAGUAAGCUAGAUGGGACUGGAACUGGGUAUAUCCCUUCCCCCAUGUAGGAGGUUAGAGGGAGCUGGAAUUCAGUAUUUCCCUUCACCACCCCACCACCCUGCUACCCACUCCCCACCCCCACAACCUCCCAACACGUAGGCUCUGCUAAAAGCCAAGUCAGUUAGGCUUUAUUAGGCUUUAGUAAAACAGUUUCUUUUGAGGGAAGUCUUUGUUAAGGAGAACAGACCAUUCUGGGCAUAUUUCAAAAUCAUUCUCUUUCCUCUCCCUCUGCUAGAAGCAUGAGGAGAAUUUUCUCCAGACUUUAUAGUAAGAACUUGGUGGGGCUCUUUGAUAUAAAACUCAAGAAAGUAUGGGAGCUCCCCUGGAACAGGACUCUCUGAAUCUUCAACUCUCAAGUUAGUUCACACUGAGUCUCCAGAAUUUUGUCAAUUACAGUUCAAGCAUUCCUAUCUGUACUGGCUUCAGCAGGAAGUUUCUGUUUCUUGGCUUCUUCUUUAGGUAAGCUGUGGCUCUCUUCAUCUGUCAUUCUCCUUUUUGGGGGGCAGUGGCUUGCCCUGUGACCUCAAUUCUCUGAUAGAUCCAAGAAGAGUUGUUGUUUUUCAGUUUGUUCAAGUUUUAUCCUGUUAGGAUGGGAGAGAUGACUUCCAACUUCCUUACAUUCUAGAUCAGAAACCAGAAGUCUGCAUAUCAUAUGCAAAUUUUUCAAUUUUUCAGCAUCAAAUAUGCAUUUGCCAAUAUUUCAACUUUGAAUAUAUACUACUUACAUAAUCAGAAAUUGAAAAAGCAUAUUAAAUGGGGUUAUUGCCUGGGGAUAAAGAAUAUGUGGGGAGGAACACAAAAGACUUUUCUAGUGUUUAAAGUGAUAUUGUACAAAAAUUAAUGCAAUAUCUCUUUGCCACUUUUUCCAACAUCUAAAAAACUGUCAUGCUAACCGCACUGAGUUUGUUCCAUGAGGAAGUCUUUAAGGAAGCUCUUGCCAGACUCCAUGAAAGUAAAGUAUGAAGACACUGAGACUCAGAGAAGAUAAAUGACCUGCCUGAGGUCACACAGCUAGUAAUGACAGAGGAGCCACUGGAAACCCAUUCAUCUGAUGCCAGCCUAGAGCUCUUUCAACACCAGAAUGUGUUAAUAUGCAGUGCUAAAGAAGUUACCGGGAACAAAAGCUGUUGCAGUCUGGGUUCACUUCACGUAUUGCACGUUGCAGAUCAGUGAUGCAGGAUGAUGCAUCAUUUUCUUCUGUGUUGCCUUCAGGCUACAUUGGGAGUGGUGCCAAUAUCAUCAAGUUGCACUGUGCUAAGUAUGCCCCAAACAAGCUUUUGAAUGGAGAGUAAGGGUGUAAAGCUGCAGGUCAUCCACGGAUGCUCCCUGGUGGAGGUAGAAGACCAGCAGGACCAAGUUCCCAGCAAUGGUGGCAGAGCUGAUGGCACUUUCAGUUCCAGUGCCCAUGACGGUGAAACCAGUGAUGGCAGCUGUGCUGGCUGGUGAUGGACAGUGGUGACAAUUUCCUUACCAGAUGGGGUCUGUGAUGUGACUUAGGCUUUGUUCCUGCCUACAUGGCCACAAUCUUCCUGAGAUUUUUUGAGAUUUUCCUUUUCUGUUUAACUCAGCCAGCAUCCAUUUUUAGCCUCCAAAGAUACUAUCACAGAGCUCAAUCACAGCAGGAGCUUUAUAAAUAUUUGUUGAAUGAAUAAGUGAAUAGAUCUAUCAUUGCUAUCUGCAGGGCCAUUAGCCUCUCUACACUCAGUUUCCUCAUCCAAAAAUGGGCUAAUAAUUCCCUACCACAAAGGGAUGUUGUAAGAAUUGAAUGAAAUAAUGUAGGCCCAGCAGCUAGUAUAUAACAAGCAACCAGUAACGGGUAGUUAUUAUUGGUAGAAACAGGGAUGUGGACAUGUGACUUAUGUUGGUGAUAACAAUAAAUCAGUGUCCUGGCUUGCAACAGGAGGAGAUAGUUUAAGGUACUACCUGUCAGGGACACAUGUCCUAGACAUCUAAACUUGCUUCAUAUAACCCACAGUUAAACAUUGUUGCCUUUGUGUUCCCAUGAAAUCCUUGAGUUUUACGUAUGGGCUUAUCACCUGGCUGGGUAACUUGGCAGAGGGUGCACACUCUAAAGUAUCUCCUUUUACCACAUUCUGUCACCUUGAGAACCUUAAAAGAAGCGAGCAUUUGGUGCAGGAGGAAAAGUAAGGUUAAAAACUCUUGGCUCCAUUUGGGUGUCUAGGAGGGUAGGGUUAUGUUGAAGUUCUCUGUAUGGGGUUUGUAUUAUUAUUUUUGAAGCUGUCCUGUAAGUUUUGAAAGUAUUUCAAAAUAAAAAGUUAAAAAACAAAAACACACAACUCUUGUCUCCAAAUCUUGAGCUAACACAAGAGGUUUCCAAAGAACCAGAGCACCCCUUGCAGGGCAAUGGGGGAACUUGAGGACUGAAAGUCAAAGGAAGGUCAGAAAGGCAGUAGUAUCACUGCAAAUCAGAGAGAACAAGAGUUUAAGCAAACAGCAAGAAGAGAGUUGCUUCAGCUGACUAGACAGUGAGGAGGCAGAGGCAGACAGCAAUUCAACUCUGCAACCAGUUGCUGAAAAACAAGGGACAGUCAUAAAACUGUGUGACAUGGCCAAGACUAUUUGUCAAAUAUUUGUCCUCUGCAAAAUCUCAUAUUUUCAUAC